GGUGGCUCAGUGAUAGAGUACAUGCCUUGCAUGCAUGAGGCCCUGGGUUCAAUUCCUCAGUACCA
rnacentral:tRNA from 1 species